UACGUAGGGUCCGAGCGUUAAUCGGAAUUACUGGGCGUAAAGCGUGCGCAGGCGGUUUUGUAAGCCAGAUGUGAAAUCCCCGGGCUUAACCUGGGAACUGCAUUUGGGACUGCAAGGCUCGAGUACGGCAGAGGGAGGUGGAAUUCCACGUGUAGCAGUGAAAUGCGUAGAGAUGUGGAGGAACACCGAUGGCGAAGGCAGCCUCCUGGGCCAGUACUGACGC
rnacentral:rRNA from 1 species